CCUACGGGUGGCAGCAGUGAGGAAUAUUGGUCAAUGGACGAGAGUCUGAACCAGCCAAGUAGCGUGAAGGAUGACUGCCCUAUGGGUUGUAAACUUCUUUUAUAUGGGAAUAAAACGUUCCACGUGUGGGAUUUUGUAUGUACCAUAUGAAUAAGGAUCGGCUAACUCCGUGCCAGCAGCCGCGGUAAUACGGAGGAUCCGAGCGUUAUCCGGAUUUAUUGGGUUUAAAGGGAGCGUAUGUGGAUUGUUAAGUCAGUUGUGAAAGUUUGCGGCUCAACCGUAAAAUUGCAGUUGAAACUGGCAGUCUUGAGUACAGUAGAGGUGGGCGGAAUGCGUGGUGUAGCGGUGAAAUGCUUAGAUAUCACGAAGAACUCCGAUUGCGAAGGCAGUUCACUGGACUGCAACUGACACUGAGGCUCGAAAGUGUGGGUAUCAAACAGGAUUAGAUACCCUGGUAGUC
rnacentral:rRNA from 1 species